CUAGUGAAACACAGGUUCCUGCAUAAUCACCAAAGUUAAGCAAUGUUGAGCCUGGUCAGUACCUAAAUGUGUCACCAUCUGGGAAUACUGGGUGCUGUAA